GUCAUCUUGCCCACAUGUACUUACUCGUGGUGGAAACAAUUUAGUAUUUGUGGAUGCAUAAAUAAGAAAGACAAGCUAUUGCAAUAAAUCUGUACGAUGUAAUAAUGAUUGUGAAAGCUAGUGUUUUGCUUUGGUCUUGCAAUUACAACAACAUUAUUUUGAAACAAGAGGAAUAUGCUGGCAAAAGCUUUUCGAAAGUUGUGUUAUUUAUCUUAUACCAAUAAAAAUACCAUAAAAUUUAA
rnacentral:sRNA from 1 species